ACUGUGUCCCUUGAUACAGGUGCCGCUGUGCGUGUUAUCGCGUCCAGAGGUGAAACGGGAAGUUCGGUGAAUGUGGGUAACCCCCCAUGAUUCCGGCGUAGCCCCCGCUGCUGUGAUCCUGAGGAGUACCUGAGAGCCACUGCGUCGUUGAAGACGUGGGAAGGUGGGUACUUCGUUGAAGGUAAGCCAGAAGACCGGCCUGUAUCCAUGAAAUGUGU
rnacentral:ncRNA from 15 species